rnacentral:rRNA from 1 species
GUAGGGGGCGAGCGUUGUCCGGAAUCAUUGGGCGUAAAGAGCUCGUAGGCGGCUCAGUAAGUCGGGUGUGAAACCUCCAGGCUCAACCUGGAGACGCCACCCGAUACUGCUGUGGCUAGAGUCCAGUAGGGGAGUGUGGAAUUCCCGGUGUAGCGGUGAAAUGCGCAGAUAUCGGGAGGAACACCAGCGGCGAAGGCGGCACUCUGGGCUGGUACUGACGCUGAGGAGCGAAAGCGUGGGUAGCAAACAGGAUUAGAUACCCUGGUAGUCCACGCCGUAAACGUUGGGCACUAGGUGUGGGGCCUUUCCAACGGGUUCCGUGCCGUAGCUAACGCAUUAAGUGCCCCGCCUGGGGAGUACGGCCGCAAGGCUAAA